rnacentral:rRNA from 1 species
UACGUAGGGUGCGAGCGUUAAUCGGAAUUACUGGGCGUAAAGCGUGCGCAGGCGGUUCGUUGUGUCCGUCGUGAAAGCCCCGGGCUUAACCUGGGAACUGCGAUGGAAACUAGCGAGCUGGAGUGUGGCAGAGGGGGGUGGAAUUCCGCGUGUAGCAGUGAAAUGCGUAGAGAUGCGGAGGAACACCGAUGGCGAAGGCGAGUCCCUGGAAAAUACCUGACACUGAGGCACGAAAGCUAGGGGAGCAAACAGG